rnacentral:rRNA from 1 species
AUUGAACGCUGGCGGCAGGCCUAACACAUGCAAGUCGAGCGGAUGAGGGGAGCUUGCUCCUGGAUUCAGCGGCGGACGGGUGAGUAAUGCCUAGGAAUCUGCCUGGUAGUGGGGGAUAACGUCCGGAAACGGGCGCUAAUACCGCAUACGACCUGAGGGAGAAAGUGGGGGAUCUUAGGACCUCACGCUAUCAGAUGAGCCUAGGUCGGAUUAGCUAGUUGGUGGGGUAAAGGCCUACCAAGGCGACGAUCCGUAACUGGUCUGAGAGGAUGACCAGGCACACUGGAACUGAGACACGGUCCAGACUCCUACGGGAGGCAGCAGUGGGGAAUAUUGGACAAUGGGCGAAAGCCUGAUCCAGCCAUGCCGCGUGUGUGAAGAAGGUCUUCGGAUUGUAAAGCGCUUUAAGUUGGGAGGAAGGGCAGUAAGUUAAUACCUUGCUGUUUUGACGUUACCAACAGAAUAAGCACCGGCUAACUUCGUG